rnacentral:rRNA from 1 species
AUUGAACGCUGGCGGCAGGCCUAACACAUGCAAGUCGAGCGGAGCGGCGGACGGGUGAGUAAUGCCUAGGAAUCUGCCUGGUAGUGGGGGCUAACGUCCGGAAACGGGCGCUAAUACCGCAUACUAUCAGAUGAGCCUAGGUCGGAUGAGCUAGAUGGUGUGGUAAAGGCCUACGAAGGCGACGAUCCGGAACUGGUCUGAGAGGCUGAUCAGUCAGGCUGGAUCUGGGAAACGUUCGAGAACACUGCGGCAGGCAGCAGUGGGAAAGAUUGGACAGUGGGCGAAAGGCUGAUCCAGCCAGGCCGGGUGUGUGAAGAAGGUCUUCGGAUUGGAAAGCACUUAAAGUUGUGAGGCGUUACCAACAGAAUAAGGACCGGCUAACUUCGUGCCAGCAGCCGCGGUAAUAC